rnacentral:rRNA from 3 species
AAAUUGAAGAGUUUGAUCAUGGCUCAGAUUGAACGCUGGCGGCAGGCCUAACACAUGCAAGUCGAGCGGUAGCACAGAGAGCUUGCUCUCGGGUGACGAGCGGCGGACGGGUGAGUAAUGUCUGGGAAACUGCCUGAUGGAGGGGGAUAACUACUGGAAACGGUAGCUAAUACCGCAUAAUGUCGCAAGACCAAAGUGGGGGACCUUCGGGCCUCAUGCCAUCAGAUGUGCCCAGAUGGGAUUAGCUAGUAGGUGGGGUAACGGCUCACCUAGGCGACGAUCCCUAGCUGGUCUGAGAGGAUGACCAGCCACACUGGAACUGAGACACGGUCCAGACUCCUACGGGAGGCAGCAGUGGGGAAUAUUGCACAAUGGGCGCAAGCCUGAUGCAGCCAUGCCGCGUGUGUGAAGAAGGCCUUCGGGUUGUAAAGCACUUUCAGCGGGGAGGAAGGCGUUAAGGUUAAUAACCUUGGCGAUUGACGUUACCCGCAGAAGAAGCACCGGCUAACUCCGUGCCAGCAGCCGCGGUAAUACGGAGGGUGCAAGCGUUAAUCGGAAUUACUGGGCGUAAAGCGCACGCAGGCGGUCUGUCAAGUCGGAUGUGAAAUCCCCGGGCUCAACCUGGGAACUGCAUUCGAAACUGGCAGGCUAGAGUCUUGUAGAGGGGGGUAGAAUUCCAGGUGUAGCGGUGAAAUGCGUAGAGAUCUGGAGGAAUACCGGUGGCGAAGGCGGCCCCCUGGACAAAGACUGACGCUCAGGUGCGAAAGCGUGGGGAGCAAACAGGAUUAGAUACCCUGGUAGUCCACGCCGUAAACGAUGUCGAUUUGGAGGUUGUGCCCUUGAGGCGUGGCUUCCGGAGCUAACGCGUUAAAUCGACCGCCUGGGGAGUACGGCCGCAAGGUUAAAACUCAAAUGAAUUGACGGGGGCCCGCACAAGCGGUGGAGCAUGUGGUUUAAUUCGAUGCAACGCGAAGAACCUUACCUGGUCUUGACAUCCACAGAACUUAGCAGAGAUGCUUUGGUGCCUUCGGGAACUGUGAGACAGGUGCUGCAUGGCUGUCGUCAGCUCGUGUUGUGAAAUGUUGGGUUAAGUCCCGCAACGAGCGCAACCCUUAUCCUUUGUUGCCAGCGGUUCGGCCGGGAACUCAAAGGAGACUGCCAGUGAUAAACUGGAGGAAGGUGGGGAUGACGUCAAGUCAUCAUGGCCCUUACGACCAGGGCUACACACGUGCUACAAUGGCAUAUACAAAGAGAAGCGACCUCGCGAGAGCAAGCGGACCUCAUAAAGUAUGUCGUAGUCCGGAUUGGAGUCUGCAACUCGACUCCAUGAAGUCGGAAUCGCUAGUAAUCGUAGAUCAGAAUGCUACGGUGAAUACGUUCCCGGGCCUUGUACACACCGCCCGUCACACCAUGGGAGUGGGUUGCAAAAGAAGUAGGUAGCUUAACCUUCGGGAGGGCGCUUACCACUUUGUGAUUCAUGACUGGGGUGAAGUCGUAACAAGGUAACCGUAGGGGAACCUGCGGUUGGAUCACCUCCUUA